rnacentral:rRNA from 1 species
CGGGGUGGGUAAUGCUUGGGAAUCUAGCUUAUGGAGGGGGAUAACUACGGGAAACUGUAGCUAAUACCGCGUAGAAUCGAGAGAUGAAAGUGUGGGACCUUCGGGCCACAUGCCAUAGGAUGAGCCCAAGUGGGAUUAGGUAGUUGGUGAGGUAAAGGCUCACCAAGCCGACGAUCUCUAGCUGGUCUGAGAGGAUGACCAGCCACACUGGGACUGAGACACGGCCCAG